rnacentral:snRNA from 1 species
AUCGCUUCUCGGCCUUUUGGCUAAGAUCAAGUGUAGUAUCUGUUCUUAUCAGUAUAAAGGUAGAGGUUCAGUAUAAAGACCAAAGUGAGGGACGAAGAAGCCUCUAGCAACACGACCCUGACAGCAGCGGAGAGAAGACUCUGCCACACCGUUUGUAAUGGUGAAGAUGGGAGAAUAACGCAAGUAUCUGACCAUAU